UGAAUCAUAGUAACUGAUCGAAUCUCCUUUUUGGAGAUAAAUCAUUCAAGUUUCUGCUCUAUCAGCUUUCGAUGGUAGUGUAUUGGACUACCAUGGCAGUCACGGGUAACGGAGAAUUAGGGUUCGAUUCCGGAGAGGGAGCCUGAGAAACGGCUACCACAUCUAAGGAAGGCAGCAGGCGCGUAAAUUACCCAAUCCUGACUCAGGGAGGUAGUGACAAGAAAUAACAACCCGGGGUAUUUCCAUACUUACGGGAUUGCAAUGAGAACAAUUUAAAUCACUUAGCGAGGUUCAAUUGGAGGGCAAGUCUGGUGCCAGCAGCCGCGGUAAUUCCAGCUCCAAUAGUGUAUAUUAAAGUUGUUGCAGUUAAAAAGCUCGUAGUUGAACUUCUGACAGUGUGCAGUUUUGGCUUCGGUCAGGCUGUUCGCUGUCAUCCGUCUGCAAACCUUGUUCGACCUUCACUGGUACGGCAAGGGGAGUAGACAUUUUACUUUGAAAAAAUUAGAGUGUUUCAAGCAGGCAAUCGCCAGAAUACUUUAGCAUGGAAUAAUGGAAUAGGACUCUUGUCCAUUUGGUUGGUUAUUGGACUUGAGUAAUGAUUAAUAGGGACAGUUGGGGGCAUUAGUAUUUAAUUGUCAGAGGUGAAAUUCAUGGAUUUAUUAAAGACUAACUUAUGCGAAAGCAUUUGCCAAGGAUGUUUUCAUUAAUCAAGAACGAAAGUUAGGGGAUCAAAGACGAUCAGAUACCGUCCUAGUCUUAACUAUAAACGAUGUCGACUCGGGAUUGGAAAGGUCCAAUUAUCCUUUCCAGCACCGUAUGAGAAAUCAUUAAGUCUUUGGAUUCUGGGGGGAGUAUGGUCGCAAGGCUGAAACUUAAAGGAAUUGACGGAAGAGCACCACCAGGCGUGGGACCUGCGGCUUAAUUUGACCCAACACGGGAAAACUUAUUUCGGCAAAACAUGAGUGGGAUUGACAGAUUGAGAGCUCUUUCUUGAUUUAUGGGGUGUGGUGCAUGGCCGUUCUUAGUUGGUGGAGUGAUUUGUCUGGUUAAUUCCGUUAACGAACGAGACCUUAACCUGCUAACUAGUCUCCUUAUCACUAAUGGGGAGUACUUCUUAGAGGGACUAUGGUUCGAUAAGACCAUGGAAGUUUGAGGCAAUAACAGGUCUGUGAUGCCCAUAGAUGUCGAAAGCGGCACGCGCGUCAUACUGUCCUAUAACAGCAAGUUUACUUCCUCUCUUGGAAAAGAAGGGGUAAUCUAUAAAAUAGGACGUGGUAGGGAUAGAUCUUUGGAAUUAUAGAUCUUGAACGAAGAAUGCCUAGUAAGUGCAAGUCAUCAACUUGUGCUGAUUACGUCCCUGUCCUUUGUACACACCGCCCGUCGCUCCUACC
rnacentral:rRNA from 1 species